rnacentral:tRNA from 1 species
GCAGUGGUGGGUUAGUGGCAGAAUUCCUGCCUUCCACGCAGGAGACCAGGGUUCGAUUCUCGGCCAAUGCA